AUGCCGGAGCUUUCCCGUGCUCCUCGGGAGUUGACCAGCCCUGUGUGCCUCCUGCUGCAAGGACUGAUGGUGUUGAACUUGUUCUCUCAGAUCUUUGCGUCGUGGCCAGUUGUUAAUUACUGGAUGCCGGUCUCGAGGGAUCGCCCCGCUUCUGUCAUACUGGAAAACAUCCUCAGGACUGUGGGCCAGUGAAGCUCAAAGAGCCAGCAAACACAGCCUGGAGUGGAUCCACACAACACUGGCCGCUUCUAACAGACCUGCUCUAACCCCAGGAUCUAAUUACUUACUCGCAUCUCUCCUAUCAUCUCCCGCUUCCUCCAGCAGGAUCCCCAUGGGUCUCUUGAGCUCAGACCCACACGUAACACACUGACAUGGGGGAAGAGCUCAACCUCCGGCCCGACAACUGCUAGAAUCCCUAUAAAAGCAUCAUAUAGAUCACACAAACUCCUACAGACUGAUAUUUUGUCUUGAUAAUGUUAAAUAAAAUCUGAGAUGUAAACUAAAUCAGUUAAUAAACGACUUUAGGCUAUGUUUACUCCAAACACAUUCUCCAAAAAAGUUUGUUUGCUACAGUUUGAAUAAAAAGUACACGACAUGCAAGCUAAAAAACAAACAGAAUUGCCUGAAGAUGUGUACGAUCUUAUAUAUACAGUGUAUAGACCUUUUCAAAUUAAUGUUAUUCAGUAAGAUUAGUAUAAUUAUGAGCAUCUUUAAUCAGGAUCAAUUUCAUGUUUAUCUAAUGAAUAAAUUAGGAUAAUUUUAAGUUUUAUAAAUUAAAUAAUUUUGUUUUAUUAACAUUAUACUUAAAUUAUAUAUAUAUAUAUAUAUAUAUAUAUAUAUAU
ensembl:lncRNA